CCUUUUCCCGGCGGCGUCGGAGGAUCCGGUAGCGGACACAAAGGGGCUGAGCUGGGCACUAGACUUGGGGGUUUUGUUUAGUCACAUGAAGCCGAGCAGCCAGUGAGCAGUAGGGGGAAGGGGCCGAGAUCCGGCGGCUUGGGGAGCCUGGCGGUCGCCAUUGCAACGCACUGAGUAACGGGGCGGUCCGAGAGCAGUCACCAACCCCUCUCCGGGGCUGCUCGGUUUGGGCCAGAAGCGCCAGCUCUGGCAUUAACUGCACACACCCCUUCCCUUACGUGGGACCGGGACCGCAUAGACCUCCCCUCCCCCUGUUCUGCAAGAUCUUAUGCCGCUAGGUGCCUGGGAAGUAACAGCAAGAGGUAAAUCGCCCAAAGUGUUUGGGUUGCCAGGGGCUUGGUGGGUGUCCAGCUAAAGCUUUUUGCUUCUCCAGGUCUGAUUCCCUGGCCUUUGUGUCCCUGGGAGCUUAAUCUCUGCCAGAGGAAAGCAGGUGUGCUCCACUUCUCCCGUGAACCUGAAGAUGAGUUGUCCCAGACCCUUCUCAGUGAUUGGAAACUUAGGUGGUGGAGCUAAAGGUUUCUUGUUACGAGACUUCCACAGACGACUCUCGUGUUGGGAUCCAUCCAUGGUUUAGCAGCAUUAGUGGAAAACUUUCCUUGAACUGCCUAAGUAAUAUUGACAUAAAUUUAGUUGUUAUAAAACUUUCAUGUCUAGACUUCAAAUUUUGUGUGGUCAUUGAGAAGUACUCAACAAGGGGGUAAACACAAUGGGGGCCUAAAUGAUGGUCCUGUUUUGUAUACAAGUCAAUAAUUACAACAGGAAUACCAAAACACCAUCAUCUCUUCUGGCCAGUUCUGACUAAUGCCAGGCUUGUUGCAUCUGGAUGAUAGAUUAGAUUUGCCUUAAUAGUAUAUUGCCUCUCUGCAGUAGUUUAGUUACAUUUCUUUGGUCCAAGAAGAAGGAAAGCAUUUCAAAAAAUAGACAACUCAAGUUACUCAAAGGAAACCUGCUGUUUGCCUUCAGUGUCAUGUGUAAGUAUCCAGGGAAGUUGAUGGCAGUAAUACUGCUUUGGUAGCUUUGGUGAGAAAAAAUUAGUUUUUAUGAGGAAGUUAGAAUUUCGACAUUUUAAUAGGUGAAACAUGAAGGUUUGACCACUGUUGAUGCAGUGAUAUGUGUAUCCCUGUUAAAACCUCUGUAGUGUGGAUUUUAGAAUUGUAAAGUUACACUGCACUUACGGCUACCUCAUACUUUGUAUAUUGGUAUUAACUAAUGUUUGACGUACAGAAUUUGGAAACAACUAAUGUUUUGGCCAGGUCACGUUAACAAGAGUAAGUUAUGUGAUUGCAGGGUUAAAGCACAUUUGGAUUGUUAACUUUAGAUCUCUGUUCAAAUUAAAAUUUGAAUUUUUUAAUAUGACUUAAAACUUUCAUUUUCCUUGCUUCUUUCAGAUACAGAUUUUCCCCCUUUAACUUUUCAUCUUUUAAUAGAGAACACUCUUACUGUAUUAACGAAUAGGAGAUACAUCAACAUUGGCAAAAUGUGUUACUGAAUCAUGUGGUUUUGGAGUGGAAGGAAUCUCAGGGAACACCUAGUUUUACCCACUGUUUUAUAAUAUAUUAAUGACCAAGUAUGAUUAAGUUAGUGAAUAAUGGAAAAUUGUCUUUUCAACUUCUACCUCAUUGCUCUUUUCGUUGAUCACGUUGGUGGGAUGAAAAGGUGACUGCAGCUAAUGGUUAAAAUAAAACAUUUAAAUAAGUGUGCUUGAAAACACUUAUUAGAUACUAUUAUAUUAAUGAGAACUUCUGUGACAAGAAGUUAAAAAGUUUCAAUUAACAUGAUAUGGUGAUACAGUUGUGAAAGUGACUUUCAGUGAAAUAAUUUCAGAUAAAAUACAGACAUUUCAGAUAAUUUGGGGCCAACGUUGCUUUUGAAUUGUGAGGUUUUCAAAAAGCAGUCUUGACCCAGAAAUUAAAAAAAAACAAAAACAAAAAAACAGCUUGAUGAACUUCUUGGAAGAUUUGAAGUAAUUGCCAUUACUACAAAUUAUUACAUAAGAAAUGCGAUGCUGAAAACAGUAAUGCUAGUGCCUUCAUUUUGUAAUGGUAGCUUUUUUAUUGGGUGAAUGGACAUGACACUUAGAUUAGCCCUUGUUAAAAGCAACUUUUUAAGAUUCACUACUACUGAAUAGUAGUAGAUCUGUAAGAUCUGUUAGGAAAUUCAAAAGUAGCAAAAUCACUUAUGGUGGGAUCCCUCAGUUCUUUAACUUCUUUGGAUAUCAAAUGUAACAAAAACUAUUAAAUCAUAUUGAGGUUUUAAAGCUUUUAUUGGUCAUUUAGGGUACAUUUAAAUUAUUGAUUUUUCUAAGAACUACUUCUUAAUUUUCAACACUGAGUAGAUUUAAUUACAUUUUAGUCAUGUGAUAAAUCGGAUUAUUCUCAGAUUAUUAGUAAUUACAAAGUGAGUCUGUUAUCUGCAAACCUUAAAUAUUUUGCAGUUUUAAUUUGUUAUUCAAGUUAUAUGAGGAAGAGUUUUGGUGUGGUUGAAUUGAGACUGUAUUGGGUAGCAUGAGAAGAGGAGAGACUCAAGGACAGUCACUAGAAGUGGUGAGGAUACCUAAAAUUUAGACAGAUUGGUUGUCAGAAAAGAUCAGGUUUAUCCCAGAUAUACUAUUAGUGUUAGGGUUACCUAUUUAGACUCUUCUCAGGGUGUGGGACCAAAGGAAAAGAGUGGAUCUUAUUUUUGUAGGAAUGCUUUUCUCAUGAUUGCUUUUCAGGCAGCCUUAAAGGCAGCAGUUUGCCCUGAAUUCAGAAAUAGGUAUGCUGAAUUAUGCAGUCCUAAUUUUAUACCAGUCCUUUUAAAAAAGUGUUUUUAAUUUAAUUGAUAGCUGUAUACAAUAAAACAUGAGAAUAAAGAAUAGCAAUUAUGAUAUUUUGGGUAGGCAUUCAAAUGAGCUCUAGUUUUUUACACUUAUUAUCAUUAAUCCCUAUAAAGACUGUUUUGUAGAUGGAAUCUGUAAAUGUUUACAAAGUUAUGAGAUACAGCAACGAUUAAGGCAGUUCUAGAUGUAUUGUCUGUUAAUAGAGAGAAAUAGUUGCUUUUAAUAUUACAGACCAUUUACAUCUUUGAAUUUUCAGAAAAUUGACAGUAAUCAAUCUGAUUCUAGCACUAGCUCACCCUGCUGGUUGGCUGAAGUAUUUCUGUUCUUCUCUUAAAAACAAGUGUAAAGAUCACUUGAGACCUAGAAGGUAGAAUAGCAAAUUAAAUUCAUGGUCUUUCUUCAGGAAGGUGGGGGUCUCCAUGAAAAGGGUGUUUCUCAUCUCUAGGGUCGUAGUUGCUCUACUGUUAAUUUUUUUCUAAGAUCUGCCAAAUUUGAACUAUGGAGUUACUAUCUUUGAAUUUAGGAGGAACUCUUAAUUAUGGGGAGAUACUAUGUUUUUGUCCUUUUCAAGGACAGGAUUCAAGAUAGGACAUCCUUUGACAAUUGAGAAAUGUUAGCAAGAAAAACAAAAAGUCCUGUGACAUAACUUUCCAGGAGGAGAAAAGCAGAGGAUCUCAGGGGGAAGAAAAGAAGCAUGCCAGGACAGAAGCAGCAGUGCACACUUCUGGAUGGAGGAAAGUGAGGCUGGAUUAAGAUUAGUGUUUCUGAGAUAUUUCCUUUAUACUCUCCCUCUACUAAUCUUUGCUCUACUUCUUCUGUUUGCAAGCUGUAGCCUUCCCAUUUCAUUUGGGAUUCUUGGAACUGUGAUCUUGUUUGAGUUAAUUUCGAAUGAGAUUGUUUUUGCAACGAGAUGUUAAUAAGACAAAAUCUAGAAAUAAACCAUCCCCUGCCCCCGCCCCGUGGUCACGACUAAAUGUGUUAAAUGGGCUUGCCAACAAUAUGGAUGAUUUGAAGAUAAACACCGAUAUUACUGGUGCUAAAGAAGAACUCCUAGAUAACAACAGUUUUAUCUCAGACAAAGAGAGUGGAGUUCAUAAACCAAAAGAUUGUCAGACAUCAUUUCAGAAAAAUAAAACACUCACUCUGCCUGAAGAACUGUCAAAGGACAAAUCUGAAAAAGCCUUAAGUGGAGGCCAGUCUACUCUAUUUAUACAUGCUGGUGCUCCUACUGUUUCUAGUGAAAACUUUAUCUUGCCUAAAGGAGCUGCUGUUAAUGGACCAGUUUCACACUCCUCCUUAGCUAAGACUUCCAGUAUGAAUAAAGGCAGUGUUUCAUUAACCACUGGACAACCUGUGGAUCAGCCAACAACAGAAUCUUGUUCAGCUUUGAAGGUGGCACCUGAUCUUCAGCUAUCUACACCACAGAAAGCAAAUCAACACCAAGUUUUAUUUUUGUUAUCAGAUGUAGCACAUGCUAAGAAUCCAACCCAUUCCAUUAAAAAACUACCUACCUCUGCUUCUGUUGGUUGUGACAUUCAGAAUUCAGUAGGGAGUAGUGUAAAGUCAGAUAGCACUUUAAUAAACCAAGUAGAGGUGGGUGAGGAUAGUGAUGAUUUAUUGGUAAAAGAUGAUUGUGUCGAUACAUUAACAGGAAUCUCCUCAGGUACAGAUGAAUUUAGGUCAGAAAAUGAGACAAACUGGGAUCCCCAAAAAGAGUUCAUUCAGUUUCUUAUGACUAAUGAAGACACAGCGGAUAAAGCUCCAGUUCACUCCAAAGUAGGUCUAGAAAAAAAGAGAAAGCGGAAAAUGGAUGUAAGCAAGAUAACUCGUUACACUGAAGAUUGCUUUAGUGAUUCAAAUUGUGUACCCAAUAAGUCAAAAAUGCUAGAAGUAGACUUUCUAGAACAGAAUGAAGAACUACAAGCAAUAGACUCACAGAAAUAUGCAUUAUCAAAAGUGAAGCCUGAAUCAACUGAUGAAGACUUGGAAUCUGUGGAUGCUUUUCAGCAUCUAAUUUAUAACCCAGAUAAGUGUGGCGAAGACAGUUCACCCGUUCAUACUAGCACUUUUCUUUCUAAUACCUUAAAAAAGAAAUGUGAAGAAAGUGAUUCCGAGUCACCUGCUACUUUCAGCACCGAAGAGCCAUCAUUUUACCCCUGUACAAAGUGCAAUGUGAAUUUUAGGGAGAAGAAGCACCUCCACAGGCAUAUGAUGUAUCAUUUAGAUGGGAAUAGCCACUUUCGUCAUCUUAAUGUCCCAAGGCCAUAUGCUUGUAGAGAAUGUGGACGGACAUUUCGAGAUCGUAACUCACUUCUAAAGCAUAUGAUUAUUCACCAAGAAAGAAGACAGAAGUUGAUGGAGGAAAUUCGCGAAUUGAAAGAACUUCAGGAUGAAGGAAGAAGUGCACGAUUACAGUGCCCUCAGUGUGUGUUUGGUACCAAUUGCCCUAAAACAUUUGUGCAGCAUGCUAAAACCCAUGAAAAAGAUAAAAGGUACUACUGCUGUGAAGAGUGUAACUUCAUGGCAGUGACAGAAAAUGAAUUAGAAUGCCAUCGAGGCAUUGCCCAUGGAGCGGUGGUAAAAUGCCCUAUUGUCAGUUCUGAUAUAGCCCAGAGAAAAACGCAAAAAAAGACUUUCAUGAAAGACUCUGUUAUAGGAUCAUCCAAAAAAUCAGCUACCUACAUAUGUAAGAUGUGUCCUUUUACGACUUCAGCCAGAAGUAUUUUAAAAAAACACAUGGAGUACUUGCAUUCAUCAUCAUGUGUUGAUUCAUAUGGUAGUCCACUUGGACUUGAUAAAAGAAAAAGUGACAUUCUUGAAGAACCUAUAGAUAUUGAUAGCACUAAACCUUUAAUUAAACAACAGUCAACCACAUUUCCAAAGAACUCUGCUUUAAAACAAGAUGUAAAGCGAACAUUUGGAUCAUCCUCACAAUCAGGUAAUUUUUCCAAAUUCCAUAAGCGGCCACACAGAGUACAAAAAGCUCGGAAAAGCAUUGCCCAGUCAGGUGUAAAUGUGUGCAAUCAAAACAAUUCUCACAAGACUGUUAUGAUUAAAAGCAGCACUGACCAAAAACCUAGGUAUUUCCAUCAAGCAGCAAAAGAAAAAUCUAAUGCCAAGGCGAAUAGCAACUAUUUAUAUAGACACAAAUAUGAAAACUACAGAAUGAUCAAAAAAUCAGGUGAAUCAUAUCCUCUACAUUUCAAAAAAGAAGAAGCCAGUUCACUAAACUCUUUACAUCUGUUCUCAUCAUCAAGUAAUUCUCACAACAAUAGUUUUAUUUCAGACCCUCAAAACUCUGACACGAAAAGGCCAGAAAGCUUCAGAGAACACAGGCGUGUAGCUGUAAAGAGAGUAGUUAAGGAAUCCAAGAAGGAAAGUUCUGUUGGAGGAGAAGACUUGGAUAGCUAUCCAGAUUUCUUGCAUAAAAUGACUGUUGUUGUUUUGCAAAAACUUAAUUCUGCUGAAAAGAAAGAUAGCUAUGAAACAGAAGAUGAAAGUUCCUGGGAUAAUGUUGAGCUAGGUGACUACACUACACAGGCCGUAGAAGAUGAAACCUAUAAUGAUAUUAAUCAAGAACAUGUAAACUUAUUCCCGCUUUUUAAAAGCAAGGUAGAAGGUCAAGAGCCUGGAGAAAAUGCUACCCUUAGUUAUGACCAGAAUGAUGGCUUUUAUUUUGAAUAUUAUGAAGAUGCUGGAACUAAUAACUUUUUGCAUGAGAUACAUGAUCCUCAGCAUUUAGAAAAUGCAGAAACUUCAUUGUCAAAGCAUAGUUCUGUUUUUCACUGGACUGAUCUGUCUCUUGAGAAGAAAUCAUGUCCUUACUGCCCAGCAACAUUUGAAACAGGUGUUGGGUUAUCAAAUCAUGUUCGAGGACAUCUUCACAGAGCUGGAUUAAGCUAUGAAGCCCGUCAUGUUGUAUCACCGGAACAAAUAGCCACAAGCGACAAAAUGCAACAUUUCAAAAGAACUGGCACAGGGACACCUGUUAAGCGAGUUAGAAAAGCUAUAGAGAAGUCUGAAACCACUUCUGAACACACUUGUCAGCUCUGUGGUGGUUGGUUUGAUACUAAAAUUGGAUUAUCGAAUCAUGUUAGAGGCCAUCUGAAAAGACUUGGAAAGACCAAAUGGGAUGCUCAUAAAUCUCCAAUCUGUGUUUUGAAUGAAAUGAUGCAAAAUGAAGAAAAAUAUGAAAAAAUCUUAAAAGCAUUGAACAGUCGUCGUAUUAUUCCCAGACCAUUUGUAGCUCAAAAACUUGCAUCAAGUGAUGACUUUCUAUCUCAAAAUGUUAUACCUCUUGAAGCAUACCGUAAUGGCCUAAAGACUGAAGCUUUAUCAGUGUCUGCAUCAGAAGAGGAAGGGCUGAGUUUCUUAAAUGAAUAUGAUGAAACAAAACCAGAACUGCCCAGUGGAAAAAAGAAUCAGUCUCUUACACUGAUAGAACUGCUUAAAAAUAAAAGGAUGGGAGAAGAAAGGAAUUCUGCUAUUUCUCCUCAAAAAAUUCAUAAUCAAACUGCAAGAAAGAGAUUUGUUCAGAAGUGUGUUCUUCCAUUAAGUGAAGACAGUCCGUUGAUGUAUCAGCCACAAAGAAUGGACUUGACUAUGCACUCAGUAAUUUAUUUACAUUUUAAAAGGAAUUUGAAUACAGUGUGGCAAUUUUGACAACCAGCAAGCUCAUCAAACCUUAGAUUGUAAGCAAAAGAAAUCAAGGUCAAGAUCUGGAAGUAAGAAGAAAAUGCUAACGUUACCUCAUGGUGCUGACGAGGUUUACAUUCUCCGAUGCAGGUUUUGUGGCCUAGUCUUU